GGGAAGGUAGCUCAGUGGUAGAGUGCUUGCCUUGCAUGCAUGAGGCCCUAGGUUCGAUUCCUCAGUAUCA
rnacentral:tRNA from 1 species